rnacentral:rRNA from 1 species
AUCGCUAUCGCGCACGAGAAGACGAGGGUUCCCUCUGCCCCGCCGCCACACCCCCAUCCUCCUCUCCCCGGUUUCACCGGCGCUGAUAUGCUACCGUCUUCCUCCUCUCCCUCUCCGGCCCGCUCUACCCACCACCGCCGCGCCACCGACAACAUGCUCCUCAUGAUGCGCCGCACGCGAGCGGCCACAUCUCGCCCAACCGUCCGCCCACACGCCUCCUCCUUUGGGGUCCGGCGAGCGGCAUCGGUGGCCACGAUGAAUUGGCACGUGUGCGGCCACUCUUCUUCGGUUCAGGGGCUACAGACUAUGCCGGAUUGGCCACCGGCUCAAAGGGGACGCGCGGACGUCCUGGUCCUGCUCCUCCCGACCAAGUUGAUGUGGCGCGGGGCGGCGGCCUCAGAGCCUGGGGUGUACGCCUGUUGACGGGGCUCGGGGUGGCUAUGGCUGAAUAUCACAUCUCCUCCUCUUGUCCUCAUGCUCUCUGCUUUGUGUCAUCUUAUCUCUCCGAUUCUUCUUUGGCCACAUGUGCAGGUGUUUGAGGCAGGAGCGGUGAUUAGCAUCGGCGAAAGUACUCCGCCCACAUCCUGUUUGAUGUUAUGCUAUGACAGACUGGGAAUUUUUAGAUCCAACUCUUACCACUAUUUAGUUAAUCAGAAUGAAAAAACAAGUGUAUCUGAUGUCGGAUCUGCACCUAAAACAAGUGUACAUGAUGUUUCAAGCUGUCCGUGUUGAUGGCCGAAGAGUAGGCGAGGGUCCACUGUUCAUUUGAUUUUGUGGGGAUUAUCCAGAACAAUGCGAUCUGAAUUGAAGCCAAUCCGAUCCAGGUGAAACAGAAGUUGAUAGAUUAUUCCGGAGACGAGGUGAUAUAUAUAUAUAUGUGUAUAUAUAUAUAUAUAUAUAUAUAUAUAUAUAUAUAUAUAUAUAUAUAGAGAGAGAGAGAGAGAGAGAGAUAUCAAGCGGAAGUCUGUUUGUGUGACUCUGCCUGUAUGUUGUCAAGUUGCAAAUAGCCUAGUUUUAUCAGUUGUUGCUUGAUGAGAGACCAACUAGUUUAUGCCUGACAUUUGUGACUCUACAUUUAAUGCAGUACAAUCGAGAGCUCACGGCAUCAGGUACGCUUUAGAUACAAAAACUCUCGCUCAGUUUAGUUCCCGUGUAGUGUUAAAUUCUGGUGAACUAUAUUCGUUACAAAUGGUAAGCUAAAGCAGAUUUAAAAAGAUGAUAAAUUUGCUCAAACCACGUUCAGUUUCAAAACUGACCUGAAGCUGCACUCAUUGGCCCUAUGGAUCCUCUCUUUUAAAGAAUCUACCUGUUUGUUGCCAUUUUGUGGGACUUAUAGGAAGAAGACAUGAGGUGGAGUACUUCUUAAGAUAAUCCUACUCAAUGCAUACUAGAAAUUGCUAUUCGAAAAAGUUGUUCUGAAGUGACUCUUCAGGGCUUGGGAGGUUGUCAAUUUUUGUGUACAUGUUACUGUUGUAUACUACUAAUACAAAUUUUGUAGUCUACAAGGGAUCUGCAGUACUUUCAUAGUAGCGAAUAAAGAAUGAAUCAAAUGGGAUUGAUUUACUAGGUGUAGUUGAUUUUUCAGUUUUGACACACACUUAUCUAUUUACAUAAUGUGGUUAUAUGUUUCAUUUUGUGGCUAACCACGUGAAAGUAUGUAGGUUCAAACCGAUGCUGUGGCCAACACAGAUAGUAGCAGUCAAGACAAUGACUUUUUGGACGAAGAAGAGUGACUUCAUGCAAGGAAAUGAGUUCCAAUAUUGGUGUGACGAGUCCCUUGACUGAAGAAGGAGGAUGACAUCAAGGGAGGCAUGAGCCGGCAGUGGCAGCAUGAGCCAUCACGACGCAUCGUUGGGAGGCUCCGGGCGGGGGGCAUGAGAGGUGUGACACAAGUGAGGAGGCGAACAAGGGAAGAUGAGUAGAUCGAGAUGGAUCAUACAAGGAUGAAGGGAUGUUAUAGAGCCGUUAGCCGACGGUGCUAAUUUCCUGUGUGUGUCGAUCUCGGUUGCCAUGCAGUAAAUGAAGAGUGCGUGUAUGCCUGUGGCACCCUCCAUUUUCAUAUUUGGAGUCCACACAGGCUGGGUGGCCGAGGGGAAGAGUGAGCGAUUUUUUUAUUCCGCUUUUUUUGCCUGAGUAGGUGUCUGUGAGGACUCCUUCCCCUUGGUGAUUUUGGUGAUGGUGGUGAGAUGGUGGAUUCUUUUUUUGCGGGAUCGUGUAAUAUACAUAGAAAUUUUUUCUGAACUUCUAUUUUACAUGUGAUGAUUCAUAAUUCCAUAUAGG